AACAACAACAACAACAACAACAACAAUAAUAAUAGUAAUAAUAAUGACAUAGGGAUUGCGCGACAGCCGUGAUAAAAUAUAGAUUGCAGCUCGACGGCAAUCCAACGAGGAAAAUAAUAAUUAUUGAUGAGAAUAUAAUAUAUUACACGGAGUUCAGAUGUUUCCGCUUGGGCAGUGAACAUUUUCGAUCGUUAUCGUUUUUGCCUAUAUUAUAUGAUUAAAACGAGAGACGAUUUUUAUAUAUUCUGCAGUUUUACUGGAUUUUCAAAUUUUUCGAAAAACACCGAAAAUUCUUUUGCCACAAACAGUCUAAAUUCGGACGUCGGAAUGGGCGUCAGCCUUGGAGGUUGGUCGUGUGAAUUUCCUAUUGAAGUACAGUGAAAACUGUCUAAAGCGGAAUCGCUUGGGACCAACGAAAAAUUCCGUUUUAAGCAGUUUUCCGCUUUAUUCAAUAAAACGGAAAAGUUCCGGAUUAUUCAAUUCAAAUAGUUCAAUUUGUUUGUCACAAUUAUGCGGUAUGCAAUGGCGAAAAAUCAUAAAACUCCAGAUAAUAACCUGAUAAAAUCUAAAUCACGGGAGAUGUAUCUAGAUUGUAUAUGAGGCGAGUCACAGUACAGCCGAUUAUGUGGUAUGCAAUGGCGAGAGAUCAUACAACUCCGGAUAAUAACCUGAUGAAAUCUAAAUCAUGGCAUGUGUAUCACGAUUGUAAGGUACAUUUUAAACUUAUUUCUUUUUUAAAUCAACUUUUUUUUGGUAAUAAUACUUGUUUAUAUGAAUGAUAAAUGUGUCAGAGUAUGCCCAGAUAAGGUUCCUAUUUUUUUUUUAUUUUAAUUUUUAUUAUUGCGUAUUAUGCUUAUUACUUGUAUUAUGUUAUAACCAGGGGUUUAUAAGAAAGAUAUUUCAUAUGCCGAGUUUCUUCUUCAGUUGCUCUUAGUUUCGCCUGUUUUUCUUUGUCUGACAGUUUCUUAUCCACUCCACCCAAAUAACCAACUUGACCUGGCUCUCUCUGAUGUUUUAAAUUAUUUUAUCUUCCUCUAUUUUAAUUAAUUGAAAGGCAUCAGCGUGUGCAAUAUCAAACAAAUUAUCCAAAUUGUCUGUAAACGCUUGUUGACGCUGUUUGAAUACGUCUCGUGUUUUCUUUGCAUUUUUUUGUAAGCCCCCCAAACUUAUUGUAAGUCAACAAAUUUUUUACACAAUUAAUUAACGAUUUGGUU